AGUUAUUUAUAAAGAAUUGUUUAUAAACAAUGUUCCACAGCCGGAAAUCGAGCAGAAACUAUAGUCUUAAUAUUCUGACAUCCUUCCGAACAACUUCCAAUAACCUUUUACCAUCAUAUUUUCAGUGCCCGAAACAGGCCUUUGAACAGGAAAAGGAAAUAUGCUCAUAUCAGUUGGAGAUUUUGUAGGAGUAAGCAAAACAUCUGCCUGUUCAAUUAGUUGCCAGAUUUCCACUGGUAAUUGGUGCGAUUGACUGCGCGCAUGUGAAAAUCCAGUCUCCUGGAGGAGAAGACGCUGAGCGGUUCCGUAAUAGAAAAUGAUACUUUUCAUGGAAUGUUCAGACAAUUUGCGAUGCGCAAUUGAAAAUAAUUGAAAUAGUGGCAAGGUGCCGGUGCAAGUGGCCGGGUUCAUGCCAUGACCAAACUAUUUUCAAUAACAGCAGAAUCAAGAGCAGAUUUUCCAAAGGUGAAUUCCCAAAUUGUGUUAUUUUGGGUGACAGUGGCUAUGGAAACACUAACUAUUUACUUACACCACUGUCAGAUCCUUUCACAGCUCCUGAAAAA